AUGUAUUCAUCUUCUUUCGGGUUAGAAGUGUUGCUUGAAUAUCCCCUCCUCAAGCAAAUCUUUCACAAGGUUAACUAAUAACGGUGACGAUCAAGAGUAGUGAGUAGAGUACUAUCGGAAGAUGAUCCAAAUAACUGAUUCUUAUAAUUUUUGUACAAUGUUUUAAAUGCGCCAGAGUUUAAAGUUGACAAGGCCCAAUUCAAGUUGGCUUUCUUCGAUUCUUCUCAUCUUCUUCCCUUGUUCAAUUAGAAAAAUCCAGACUCUGAAAAACAGCUUCAAGCCCUGGCUCUUCUUCUCGCUUCCAUUAAUUCCUCCCAAGCAAUCUUCUUCGAUCUCCCUAGUGUUGGUGGUAAUUCA